ensembl:misc_RNA 7SK 7SK RNA
AGAUGUGGGUGAUCUGGCUGUGAUAUAUGUUACCCUGUUGAUUGCUAAUGUCGAUUCAGCUGAUCUGACUGGGUAGUGGGGUGUUCCCUUCCUCCCUCACCAUUCCAUGUGCCUACCUCCUGAAGCUGCAAGCUUGAAGAAGACAGCCUUCUCAGAUAGUGGAGGGUCUUUCUUUAGUCAGGGGUAUAUGCACACCUGCACUCCCUUGCAAGAGCAUCUAAGGGAGCUGUCAAAAUAAAAAGCAUUUUAGUUAUUCAAAUAUAGGAACAUAAGAAGAUAAACUCAGGAUGAAAAAAUGAAAUACAUGUUGUUGUUA